UACGUAGGGUGCAAGCGUUAAUCGGAAUUACUGGGCGUAAAGGGCGCGUAGGCGGUUUGGUUCGUUAGGCGUGAAAUUCCUGGGCUCAACCUGGGGACUGCGUUUAAUACAGCCAGACUUGAGUGUGGAAGAGGGUCGUGGAAUUCCCAGUGUAGAGGUGAAAUUCGUAGAUAUUGGGAAGAACACCGGUGGCGAAGGCGGCGACCUGGUCCAUUACUGACGCUGAGGCGCGAAAGCGUGGGGAGCAAACAGG
rnacentral:rRNA from 1 species